UACGAGGGGGGCGAGCGUUGUUCGGAAUUAUUGGGCGUAAAGGGUGCGUAGGCGGUUCGGUAAGUUUCGUGUGAAAUCUUCGGGCUCAACCGGGGAACGACGCAUGAAACUGGCAAGCUAGAGUACCAAAGAGGGUGGUGGAAUUCCCGGUGUAGCGGUGAAAUGCGCAGAUAUCGGGAAGAACACCUAUGGCGAAGGCAGCUCUCUGGGACGGUACUGACGCUGAGACGCGAAAGCGUGGGGAGCGAACAGG
rnacentral:rRNA from 1 species